GUUCAGUAAUUUGGAUAAAAUUGGAAAGCGGUUGGAGAUGAAGAGGAGCGAUCCCAGGUCUCCAGGGUCAUCUGCAGACCAUGAUAUGAAGAACUAAAUGCUUAGCAUGCAUGGACCCUUAACAGAAUCGAUCUGCUGUGUGGGAGUAUGAGGGGAAACCAACAGGUGGUUGGUAAAUACUCAUAAAUGAUUGUCAAC
rnacentral:lncRNA from 1 species